AAUGGAAGGGACCUUUCAUUAGCCAAGCAAAGGAACCUGGUGAUGAAUGAAAGACUGGCCAGCAGCAAGCACUGGGGGAGAAGGCAAUGACUCACAGGCUUCUGAGAACAUGGAGAGGGAUGCUAAACUGGGACUGAGGAAAUGGAAGGAUGGAGAAGAGCCAUUUGAUGUGAGAACCCAACCACAAAAAGAGGAGAACUGCAGAUAAGUACAUGCUGAACGUCACUUAAGGACUCUGUAGGCAUGCAACUGAUGUGAAAGAAAGAACUACAAAAUCCAAACUAGACUAGGAAGAAAAUAGUUGAAGGCAGCCUAUAAUAAGACAUGGGCAAACCAUUUGGGUAUCAUCAAAACUCCCAGUAUGAACAUAUCUGUAUCUUUCAGAUGACUUUUGAUGCCAGACAAUGUGACUCCCAGUCUAAAUUAAGAGAGCUACCUCCUUCCUAACUGCUGAGGAAAAGCACUAGAUCCGGAUAUGAUAGUGCAGACAGACCAAAGCUGUAAGGAGGUCUGUUGUAGAUGUUGCUAGUGCAAUGAAAGAAGCAUGAAUUCAGAGUGUGUUGGGGAGUGAUAGUACACUCAAUUCCAACUUUGAC
rnacentral:lncRNA from 1 species